GGUUAAGCGACUAAGCGUACACGGUGGAUGCCCCGGCAGUCAGAGGCGAUGAAGGACGUGCUAAUCUGCGAUAAGCGUCGGUAAGGUGAUAUGAACCGUUAUAACCGGCGAUUUCCGAAUGGGGAAACCCAGUGUGUUUCGACACACUAUCAUUAACUGAAUCCAUAGGUUAAUGAGGCGAACCGGGGGAACUGAAACAUCUAAGUACCCCGAGGAAAAGAAAUCAACCGAGAUUCCCCCAGUAGCGGCGAGCGAACGGGGAGCAGCCCAGAGCCUGAAUCAGUGUGUGUGUUAGUGGAAGCGUCUGGAAAGGCGCGCGAUACAGGGUGACAGCCCCGUACACAAAAAUGCACAUGCUGUGAGCUCGAUGAGUAGGGCGGGACACGUGGUAUCCUGUCUGAAUAUGGGGGGACCAUCCUCCAAGGCUAAAUACUCCUGACUGACCGAUAGUGAACCAGUACCGUGAGGGAAAGGCGAAAAGAACCCCGGCGAGGGGAGUGAAAAAGAACCUGAAACCGUGUACGUACAAGCAGUGGGAGCACGCUUAGGCGUGUGACUGCGUACCUUUUGUAUAAUGGGUCAGCGACUUAUAUUCUGUAGCAAGGUUAACCGAAUAGGGGAGCCGAAGGGAAACCGAGUCUUAACUGGGCGUUAAGUUGCAGGGUAUAGACCCGAAACCCGGUGAUCUAGCCAUGGGCAGGUUGAAGGUUGGGUAACACUAACUGGAGGACCGAACCGACUAAUGUUGAAAAAAUUAGCGGAUGACUUGUGGCUGGGGGGUGAAAGGCCAAUCAAACCGGGAGAUAGCUGGUUCUCCCCGAAAGCUAUUUAGGUAGCGCCUCGUGAACUCAUCUCCGGGGGUAGAGCACUGUUUCGGCAAGGGAUCAUCCCGACUUACCAACCCGAUGCAAACUGCGAAUACCGGAGAAUGUUAUCACGGGAGACACACGGCGGGUGCUAACGUCCGUCGUGAAGAGGGAAACAACCCAGACCGCCAGCUAAGGUCCCAAAGUCAUGGUUAAGUGGGAAACGAUGUGGGAAGGCCCAGACAGCCAGGAUGUUGGCUUAGAAGCAGCCAUCAUUUAAAGAAAGCGUAAUAGCUCACUGGUCGAGUCGGCCUGCGCGGAAGAUGUAACGGGGCUAAACCAUGCACCGAAGCUGCGGCAGCGACGCUUAUGCGUUGUUGGGUAGGGGAGCGUUCUGUAAGCCUGCGAAGGUGUGCUGUGAGGCAUGCUGGAGGUAUCAGAAGUGCGAAUGCUGACAUAAGUAACGAUAAAGCGGGUGAAAAGCCCGCUCGCCGGAAGACCAAGGGUUCCUGUCCAACGUUAAUCGGGGCAGGGUGAGUCGACCCCUAAGGCGAGGCCGAAAGGCGUAGUCGAUGGGAAACAGGUUAAUAUUCCUGUACUUGGUGUUACUGCGAAGGGGGGACGGAGAAGGCUAUGUUGGCCGGGCGACGGUUGUCCCGGUUUAAGCGUGUAGGCUGGUUUUCCAGGCAAAUCCGGAAAAUCAAGGCUGAGGCGUGAUGACGAGGCACUACGGUGCUGAAGCAACAAAUGCCCUGCUUCCAGGAAAAGCCUCUAAGCAUCAGGUAACAUCAAAUCGUACCCCAAACCGACACAGGUGGUCAGGUAGAGAAUACCAAGGCGCUUGAGAGAACUCGGGUGAAGGAACUAGGCAAAAUGGUGCCGUAACUUCGGGAGAAGGCACGCUGAUAUGUAGGUGAAGUCCCUUGCGGAUGGAGCUGAAAUCAGUCGAAGAUACCAGCUGGCUGCAACUGUUUAUUAAAAACACAGCACUGUGCAAACACGAAAGUGGACGUAUACGGUGUGACGCCUGCCCGGUGCCGGAAGGUUAAUUGAUGGGGUCAGCGCAAGCGAAGCUCUUGAUCGAAGCCCCGGUAAACGGCGGCCGUAACUAUAACGGUCCUAAGGUAGCGAAAUUCCUUGUCGGGUAAGUUCCGACCUGCACGAAUGGCGUAAUGAUGGCCGGGCUGUCUCCACCCGAGACUCAGUGAAAUUGAACUCGCUGUGAAGAUGCAGUGUACCCGCGGCAAGACGGAAAGACCCCGUGAACCUUUACUAUAGCUUGACACUGAACAUUGAGCCUUGAUGUGUAGGAUAGGUGGGAGGCUUAGAAGUGUGGACGCCAGUCUGCAUGGAGCCGACCUUGAAAUACCACCCUUUAAUGUUUGAUGUUCUAACGUUGACCCGUAAUCCGGGUUGCGGACAGUGUCUGGUGGGUAGUUUGACUGGGGCGGUCUCCUCCUAAAGAGUAACGGAGGAGCACGAAGGUUGGCUAAUCCUGGUCGGACAUCAGGAGGUUAGUGCAAUGGCAUAAGCCAGCUUGACUGCGAGCGUGACGGCGCGAGCAGGUGCGAAAGCAGGUCAUAGUGAUCCGGUGGUUCUGAAUGGAAGGGCCAUCGCUCAACGGAUAAAAGGUACUCCGGGGAUAACAGGCUGAUACCGCCCAAGAGUUCAUAUCGACGGCGGUGUUUGGCACCUCGAUGUCGGCUCAUCACAUCCUGGGGCUGAAGUAGGUCCCAAGGGUAUGGCUGUUCGCCAUUUAAAGUGGUACGCGAGCUGGGUUUAGAACGUCGUGAGACAGUUCGGUCCCUAUCUGCCGUGGGCGCUGGAGAACUGAGGGGGCUGCUCCUAGUACGAGAGGACCGGAGUGGACGCAUCACUGGUGUUCGGGUUGUCAUGCCAAUGGCACUGCCCGGUAGCUAAAUGCGGAAGAGAUAAGUGCUGAAAGCAUCUAAGCACGAAACUUGCCCCGAGAUGAGUUCUCCCUGACCCUUUAAGGGUCCUGAAGGAACGUUGAAGACGACGACGUUGAUAGGCCGGGUGUGUAAGCGCAGCGAUGCGUUGAGCUAACCGGUACUAAUGAACCGUGAGGCUUAACCUU
rnacentral:rRNA from 1 species